rnacentral:tRNA from 1 species
GUGACGUUGGCUGAUGUGGAAAUGGCUCCGGGUUGUGAUUCCGGAAGAUGCGGGUUCGAACCCCGUACGUCACC